rnacentral:rRNA from 1 species
CCUACGGGUGGCUGCAGUCGAGAAUCUUCGGCAAUGCGCGCAAGCGUGACCGAGCGACGCCGCGUGCGGGAUGAAGGCCUUCGGGUUGUAAACCGCUGUCGGGGGGGAUGAAAUGCAUGGGAGCAAUCUCCUGUGUUUGACAGAGCCCCGGAGGAAGCGCGGGCUAAGUUCGUGCCAGCAGCCGCGGUAAUACGAACUGCGCGAACGUUAUUCGGAUUCACUGGGCUUAAAGGGUGCGUAGGCGGUCUGUUAAGCAGGGUGUGAAAUUUUUCGGCUCAACCGGAAAAGUGCAUUCUGUACUGGCGGACUGGAGUUGGUCAGGGGUGUGUGGAACUGCCAGUGGAGCGGUGAAAUGUGUUGAUAUUGGCAGGAACGCCGGUGGCGAAAGCGACACACUGGGGCCGUACUGACGCUGAGGCACGAAAGCCAGGGGAGCAAACGGGAUUAGAUACCCUAGUAGUC